rnacentral:rRNA from 1 species
UGAGUAACGCGUGAGGAACCUGCCUCAAAGAGGGGGACAACAGUUGGAAACGACUGCUAAUACCGCAUAAGCCCACGGGUCGGCAUCGACCAGAGGGAAAAGGAGCAAUCCGCUUUGAGAUGGCCUCGCGUCCGAUUAGCUGGUUGGUGAGGUAAUGGCCCACCAAGGCGACGAUCGGUAGCCGGACUGAGAGGUUGAACGGCCACAUUGGGACUGAGACACGGCCCAGACUCCUACGGGAGGCAGCAGUGGGGAAUAUUGCACAAUGGGGGAAACCCUGAUGCAGCGACGCCGCGUGGAGGAAGAAGGUCUUCGGAUUGUAAACUCCUGUUGUUGAGGAAGAUAAUGACGGUACUCAACAAGGAAGUGACGGCUAACUACGUGCCAGCAGCCGCGGUAAAACGUAGGUCACAAGCGUUGUCCGGAAUUACUGGGUGUAAAGGGAGCGCAGGCGGGAAGACAAGUUGGAAGUGAAAUCUAUGGGCUCAACCCAUAAACUGCUUUCAAAACUGUUUUUCUUGAGUAGUGCAGAGGUAGGCGGAAUUCCCGGUGUAGCGGUGGAAUGCGUAGAUAUCGGGAGGAACACCAGUGGCGAAGGCGGCCUACUGGGCACCAACUGACGCUGAGGCUCGAAAGUGUGGG